rnacentral:rRNA from 1 species
UGGCGGACGGGGGAGUAAUGUCUGGGAAACUGCUGAUGGAGGGGGGUAACUACUGGAAACGGUAGCUAAUACCGCAUAACGUCGCAAGACCAAAGAGGGGGACCUUCGGGCCUCUUGCCAUCGGAUGUGCCCAGAUGGGAUUAGCUAGUAGGUGGGGUAACGGCUCACCUAGGCGACGAUCCCUAGCUGGUCUGAGAGGAUGACCAGCCACACUGGAACUGAGACACGGUCCAG